AUUGAACGCUGGCGGUAUGCCUUACACAUGCAAGUCGAACGGUAGAGGGGCAACCCUUGAGAGUGGCGAACGGGUGAGUAAUACAUCGGAACGUGCCCAGUCGUGGGGGAUAACGUAGCGAAAGCUACGCUAAUACCGCAUACGACCUGAGGGUGAAAGCGGGGGAUCUUCGGACCUCGCGAGAUUGGAGCGGCCGAUGGCAGAUUAGGUAGUUGGUGGGGUAAAGGCCUACCAAGCCUGCGAUCUGUAGCUGGUCUGAGAGGACGACCAGCCACACUGGGACUGAGACACGGCCCAGACUCCUACGGGAGGCAGCAGUGGGGAAUUUUGGACAAUGGGCGAAAGCCUGAUCCAGCCAUACCGCGUGCGGGAAGAAGGCCUUCGGGUUGUAAACCGCUUUUGUCAGGGAAGAAAUCUUCUGGGUUAAUACCUCGGGAGGAUGACGGUACCUGAAGAAUAAGCACCGGCUAACUACGUGCCAGCAGCCGCCGUAACAC
rnacentral:rRNA from 1 species